rnacentral:lncRNA from 1 species
UAAGGAAUUUCAGUCAUGUUACAAAGAUGCUAAAUAUCUGAAAGCUUAAAUGUUUACUUCCAGCACCCCCUACCCCUGUAAAUUAUCUUCUGAGAUAAGAUAAAUUCUAAGAUAAUUAAUUUGAGACUUUCUGGUUGGGUUCUGUUUUUUCAUUUUGUUGUCAUGUUUUUUUGCCUUUCCCUAAACAGAUGCAGUAAGGCCUGGAGUAAUCUGAUCCUGGAGCAGAGGGCCUGCUCUGUGUCUCGGCUGCUUGCAAAAUUCCUGUCAAGUACAAGUCUGCUCCAUAAACCUGUGUGAAAGUCUUAUCUUCUUUGAGCAGAUUUUGAAAUAACCUCCUUUCUCCAAACACUGCCAGUGAGAAGUGAUCCCAAUCCCACUGUUUACCUGAAGGUCAUUAGUAAGCAGCUCCACAUUUGUACUCUGUCACAACUUAGACAUGUGGUCUGUAGCCAUUCACAGACCAAACCCUUCUUUUGGGGUUCAACCUCAAUAAAAGCCCAGCACAAGGAAAGCCCAGAGUACACCUGUCAGUCUUGGCUGAGCCCCUCCCUGCCUAGUGACUUUCCUCUGAUGCCCCCAGGCUAUGACCAGAGAAGCUCCAGAUGCAUCCUCUUCUUCUUCAAUUUGCUGCUCUUCCAACCGCAGGCCAGUAAAGAAAUGAAAACCAGUUCAAACUAUGGCAGUCCAGUGACUGAUGUAUAUGGGCCUCAUUGGCUGGGCGGGUGCCUGUGAGGUCAGAACAGAUGGACAAGGAUAUUUCAACUCUGUACCUGACGGUGAAGUUUUAUUCAUCAUUGAAGACUGCCCAUCUCCAGAAAAUAAACAAUUCCCAAGAUGGCAUUUUAUAAAGGAGCAACGUCGCUUUCUGAAAGCAUGUGACCUCCGUCUCCUUCAGGACCUCCUCCAAGCCCUCUAGCAGAGAGACACGCACAUCUUCCGACUUCAUGAUGCUGGAAGACAGCUCCUUCUCCAGGCCCUGGAAAACUUCUUGGUGAAAGUCAAGCACAAUUUGGCAGUUCUCUUCUGAUCAAAAAUUGAGGAAUCACAGGGCACACUGCUAGCACGUACAUACAAGUCCGUAGUGUGUUGCACACCAUCUACUAGUGGCUAGCUUGUCCUGCCAUGACUCCGCAUUCAAGCUCACAGACGUGUGUCUAAGCAGCAAAGCUCUAGAGCAGAAGGACAAUGACCCCAAGAAAGGUUUCUAAUGAACUUAGAAAGCCGACACGGGAAUCUUUCUUUCUGCCAGACUGAAGCUCUCAAUUUCUUUAUCUGAAAAAUGAGAAGGAAUAGUGUUUAGCUCAAAGGUGAAUAAAGCAAGCUCAUGCAUAUGGACA